rnacentral:rRNA from 1 species
AUUGAACGCUGGCGGCAGGCCUAACACAUGCAAGUCGAGCGAGCGGCGGACGGGUGAGUAAUGUAUGGGGACUGCCCGAUAGAGGGGGAUAACUACUGGAAACGGUGGCUAAUACCGCAUACUAUCGGAUAACACAGAUGGGAUUAGCUAGUAGGUGGGGUAAAGGCUCACCUAGACGACGAUCACUAGCUGGUCUGAGAGGAUAAUCAGCCACACUGGGCUGUAGACACGGCCCAGACUCCUACGGAGGAAGCAGUGGGGAAGAUUGCACAAUGGGCGAAAGCCUGAUGCAGCAAUGCCGCGUGUAUGAAGAGGGCCUUCGGGUUGUAAAGUACUUUCAGCGAGGAGGCGUUACUCGCAGAAGAAGCACCGGCUAACUCCGUGCCAGCAGCCGCGGUAAUUC